UACAAUAGCAACUCUGGCUUUUUGCCAAUAAAUCUGCAUCACGGACCUUUCCUUGCGAAACCCUUUUCCCUCUCCCCACCCCCUUUACAUUUUUCCCUACUCGCAAAGACGGAGAAGCAAAAAUCCCUUUUCUGAAACCCAAGUCCCUUACUAUUUUCGGCAGCUUGCUUUUGAAAUCAGCAACCCUACUGAUAAAAUGAUCCAAUCAGUCCUUCCCAGUUGUCAAGACAACAGUUCAUAAUUGUACCAGCUCUUUUCAUUGCAGCUAGACAUUUCAUAAAUAGAUAAUUCUCUAAUUGAUCCAGCCAAUCCUACUUUGCAUACCCUGCCAAACUAGUUAUUAAUUGCAGCACAAGGAGGACCAUGUAUCAAAGCUGACCCCAUACUUCAGAUGUGUUCCAGAAUGGAUCUCCAAGCUGAAGACAGGAGAAUCUGAACAAUAUUUGAAGCAGUGACAAUAUAACAUGCAGCAAGAGUCCAUCCAGGAAAGCAGUCAUGGUAUUGCUAGGGCAAGAACGCUGAAAACCUCCAAACACGUCCAUGGUGUGAGGAGCCUCCUGAAGGUGUCAAACUGGACUUCUGAGGUGCUGCAGGACUGUGACAGUGUACUCAUCCUUCUUCUGAUCACCAUAAACAUCAGCACAGACUCUUUAGUGCAGUCCUGAUUUCUGUAUUAAUGAAUUGAGAAGAUGACAUCAGGCUCUUAGAGCACUGAGAGUUUUACGCUGGUUGGGACUGCUUCCUCAUUCUGCCUGGGACUGGCAGCCAGCUGGGAGGUCCACAGCACAAGCAGCUCUGUUAAUUGACAGCGAUUGUUGUCAGCCCCACACAGGAUCAGGCAUUAAGAGAAUAACAAUUUGUGGAUUGCGGGUUUAUUCACCGCUUCACUGAAAUGCUGUGUGUUUUUUUUUUAAUAUUCUAUGUACCAGAUUUAUUGCUAUUAUUAUAAACUGCUAUUGAUGUAUUGACUUGCACAGCUUGUUAUUACAGAAAGAAAAUGUUGUCAUACAGGAAAUUUGCUUCCUGAGAAUUUUGUUUUCACAAUUUACUUUCAUUGCAGUUUGCUGUUAACUCAAUGCAAAGUGGCCUCUGUGGCUACUGACCACAUUUUUGAAGUUGUUCUUAGUUCUGAACGAAAAUUUCUGUGUUGGUAUCAUCCAUGUAAUAAUUAUCCAGGUGUUAUGUGGCUAGCAGCCCUUGCUGUUAAGUUCUUGGAAACGAUACAGAAACUUAUGGGUUUGCUCACCCACUACCCCUUCCACAC